rnacentral:rRNA from 1 species
UACGGGGGGGGCAAGCGUUGUUCGGAAUUACUGGGCGUAAAGGGCUCGUAGGUGGCCAACUAAGUCAGACGUGAAAUCCCUCGGCUUAACCGGGGAACUGCGUCUGAUACUGGAUGGCUUGAGUUUGGGAGAGGGACGCGGAAUUCCAGGUGUAGCGGUGAAAUGCGUAGAUAUCGUAAGGAAGACCAGUGGCGAAGGCGGGUCUCUGGACAGUUCCUGACGCUGAGGCACGAAGGUCAGGGGAGCAAACGGG